UACGUAGGGUGCGAGCGUUAAUCGGAAUUACUGGGCGUAAAGGGCGCGUAGGCGGUCCCGUAAGUUCCGCGUGAAAUCCCCCGGCUCAACCGGGGAAUGGCGCGGAAAACUGCGGGGCUUGAGUUCGGGAGAGGGAAGCGGAAUUCCGGGUGUAGCGGUGAAAUGCGUAGAUAUCCGGAGGAACACCGGUGGCGAAGGCGGCUUCCUGGACCGACACUGACGCUGAGGCGCGAAAGCUAGGGGAGCAAACGGG
rnacentral:rRNA from 1 species